CACGUGCCCACGUUCCGGGGAAGCCCCAGGACUGCGCGAGGCUCCUGGGGAGGAAGGAGGCAGGAUCUCGACAGCAGGGGAAGACACGGGAGACAGCAUUUCCGUCUUGUAAAUGGCCUGUCCAGGAGUUUCAGGAGGAGGAGCCUAGAGAAGGGUGACACAACACCGCAAGGGCACUACUGAGGCAGUGAAGGAACUGGUGAAAUCCUCACCCUCCAGCAAGCCACCAGAAAUCGGAUUGCACUGACUCUGUUCACCGCACGCUCAUUCCAAGCCUCGUCCGGGACAUCAUUUACCAAGCACUCCAGUGCCCCACAGCGAGGCAGGUUCUCUGUCAUGGCAAAGACCACAUCAGCUGGGAACUUGGGUUUGUGUGACUAGUAACUGCUAUGCAGUACUUCAAAAAAUUUAAAACAAAAAGAAAAAAAUCUGGGACAGGGUCACCCUUUCUUUUUAAUGAUGCAUAAUUCUAUUUGAGAUCAUAUAAAAUAUCUGCUAAAUUAAUGUUUAGUAUCUCAUUACAGAAUGUCAUCAUAAUUUAUAGAAUCCUUUUUCACAAUUCUUUUCUAUACACUAACUGUAAAAACUUUCUCAUGAGGGGUGCCUGGGUGGCUCAGUGGGUUAAGCAUCCGAUUCUUGAUCUCAGCUCAGGUUUUGAUCUCAGGGUCGUGAGUUCAGGCCCCAGGUUGGGCUCCACGUUGAGCAUGGAGCCUUCUUUUUUUUUUUUUUUUUUAAUUUUUAUUUUUAUUCUUAUGUUGAUCCCCAUACAUUACAUCAUUAGUUUUAGAUGAAGUGUUCCAUGAUUCAUUGUUUGUGCAUAACACCCAGUGCUCCAGAGCAUGGAGCCUUCUUAAAAACAAAAGAAAAAAAAUAAAAAACCUUUUACAUGACAGUGAUGGGGCUGCACAUGUUGGACACUAGUACUUUCCUUAGUAACACAUUCUGCUGUUUUCCCCUUGGGGUCUUAAAAGCUCCUCUAACAAGGCUGAAAUUGGCAAGAGGGUUUUGGGGCCUUUCCACCUAGGGGACUCCCAUUCUCCCAGAGCACUCUAGUUCUCUUCUAUCAAAACCAGCUCUCAGCAAAAGAUUUAUAAUGGCAAUUUGAUGUUAGUGCAAAUAUUUUUUAAAACCACACAUAAUUUACAAAACAAAGAUACAAUGACUUAAAAUAACA